rnacentral:rRNA from 1 species
UACGAAGGGUGCUAGCGUUGUUCGGAAUCACUGGGCGUAAAGCGCGCGUAGGCGGCUUUUCAAGUCAGGGGUGAAAUCCUUGGGCUCAACCCAAGAACUGCCUUUGAAACUGUAAAGCUGGAGUGUCGGAGGGGAUAGCGGAAUUCCUAAUGUAGUGGUGAAAUACGUAGAUAUUAGGAGGAACACCGGUGGCGAAGGCGGCUAUCUGGACGACAACUGACGCUGAGGCGCGAAAGCGUGGGGAGCAAACAGG